UCAAUCUCGUGCGGCUAUAUAUACCGCCGGUCCCUCUAAGAAGAUUUUCAUUGUACGCCGGUAGUGAAGACCGCAACGCGCCCGCGCCCCCGACGCAGAACGCCAGAGGACACGGACGCGCGCGGACCCUCGUGAUACCGGUUGUACGUCUAUUUAAUAGGCUAGAGUUACGUUCGUUAC
rnacentral:rRNA from 1 species